rnacentral:lncRNA from 10 species
CUUGAUUAGAGAAUUGGAAUUUUCAGUCCCUCACCCUGACUUCUGGAGAGGGAGAGGGAUGGAGAUUGAAUUCAAUCACCAAUGGCCAAUGAUUUAAUCAACCAUGCCUGUGUCAUGGAACACAGGAAACCUAAACAACAUAAAAAUCCUUAACAACAGGGUUUGGUGAGCUUCUGGAUUGGUGAACACAUUGAGGUGGUAGAAGGCUAGAGUUCAGGAGAUGACAUGGGAAGACAUGGAAGCUUUGUGUCCCUUCCCAUAUACCUUGCUCUCUGCAUCUCUUCCAUUUGGCUCCUCCUGAGUUUGAUUAUUGGCGUGCCUCUCAACAUCCAGCAGAAUGUGGGAAUGUUUCAUGGCAUGAUAUGGCUCAAUCCACAGACAAAGGCUGCUGAGCCCAGAACAGCUUAUUGGACGAGCCCCUAUGAGAAGCAGAAAUGUAUAGAAGCAAACUGAACCCAAGGAAAGAUUGGUGAUACUUUGGGAGGGAUGACAGAGGAAGGGGAAACACACUGUCCAUCCCUGUCCCAGCAAGGAGCCAGCUCCCAUUCGGCAGUCCCUCUGAACAUCUAGGUAGCUUCCCCCUUCUUUCUGUCCAGUUGUGAGCAGCCACCAACUAUGAUGCCCCUCUUCCAGCAGGCUUUGCUUUCACAUCACAAAGCAUCAUCCUGAGAAACAAUUACAGUUCUUUUUAGAGUUCUGGUUCCUUCAUAGGUACCUAUUGUCCUAAUAAAUGGAAUUCCUUGGAACACAAAAGCAUUUAUUUCCUCUUUUAGCUAAUUUAAUUUUUACAGCUCUGGUGAAAAAAUAUUUUAUGUUUUUACUCAAUGUGAUUUUAAGAUAGCUUAUUCUUGGAUUCAAUUUUGUUUUCAUUUUCUAGAAAAUCAAUUUAAUUCACAGAAGGUUCAUUCAUUUAGUGGCUUUCCUUGCACAUGGUUAAUGCUUAAGCAUUUGAUCAAGCAUUCCUCUUAGCAAUAUCUUUACAAGGUUCAACCGGAGAAGGUGUUAGAUGGGGGAAAUCCUCUACAUUUGGGCAAAGCCUCUUUCCUCUGGACUAAUUGAAAUGGAAAAUCAGUCUGAAUUGGUGAAAUUGAAUUGCAAACUAUUUUUCAAGGAGAUUCCUGUGUGAUUUCAAGUUGCUCAAACUAAACUUAGAAAAGGGCACACUAACAAAGCUUUUUAAGUUAUCUCCAUCUAGCUUCCUAGUGAAGAGGCUACAUUGUCUGGGUAAAUACCUGGGGUUCGUCAUCUCAUGCCAAGAAAAUUUAGGACACGGACCCACAUGAGGAGUUUAGGAACGGAGAUUUAAUAGGCGAAAGAAAAGGAAAGGAAAACAGCUCGCUCUCUAGAGUGACAGAGAGGAGACUUCUGAGAGGAAAAGGCCAGCUGGCGG